rnacentral:rRNA from 1 species
AGUGAACGCUGGCGGUAGGCCUAACACAUGCAAGUCGAACGGCAGCACAGUAAGAGCUUGCUCUUACGGGUGGCGAGUGGCGGACGGGUGAGGAAUACAUCGGAAUCUACUUUUUCGUGGGGGAUAACGUAGGGAAACUUACGCUAAUACCGCAUACGACCUACGGGUGAAAGCAGGGGAUCUUCGGACCUUGCGCGAUUGAAUGAGCCGAUGUCGGAUUAGCUAGUUGGCGGGGUAAAGGCCCACCAAGGCGACGAUCCGUAGCUGGUCUGAGAGGAUGAUCAGCCACACUGGAACUGAGACACGGUCCAGACUCUUACGGGAGGCAGCAGUGGGGAAUAUUGGACAAUGGGCGCAAGCCUGAUCCAGCCAUACCGCGUGGGUGAAGAAGGCCUUCGGGUUGUAAAGCCCUUUUGUUGGGAAAGAAAAGCAGCAGGUUAAUACCCCGCUGUUCUGACGGUACCCAAAGAAUAAGCAUCGGCUAACUUCGUG